GCGUUGGAGCUGUCAAAUCAGUGAGCAGCUGCUCUUGAUCAUUGUCACAAAGCUACACCCAUCCCACUCGUGUUAGAAGUUCAGAACGAGAAAGUGUAGGCUAUUUAGAAAUAAUGACGCCCAAAUUGAAAGGCAUUCAAUGAAAUUAGGAUUUCUAUCAGCCUAAUUGAGGUGUAUAGGUGGUGAGCCGUAGCAAGCUGCAUGAGUUUUCGAGAUGAUAGAUCUCUGAGGAGCUGUUUUUUUUGCUUGUUUUUUUAAAACAUAUUGUGUAUUUUUAUUUCUUCUGAAAACAUUUACGUUACUUGGCCAUGUCAAUUUUCACAAAAUACUGACUUUCAUGUUCGCUAUCUGGACAGGCAAACGCCGCGAAGAACUAAACUGUAAACCAAUCAAAACGUGUGUACUAUUCAUGGUACGAUCUACAUUCACGUUAUCCGUAACUAAUGUAGAGACAGCUGGUAAUGAAGAGUUCGACAGAGAUCUCCGUCUGACACUGCUAUCAGCUCUCCUUUGCCCUGCUCCCAGAGCAGUGCUAUUCAUCAAGCAUGGACUGAUUCACUCACCUGUGAGGAGAACCAUCCUAUAGCAGUUUGAACUAGACCUGCCGUCACUGUUUAGAUUUUGGGACCACAUGCCUGUUGUCUUUUCUUUGUGGAUUCUAUCUUAAUAUAUAUGCCAUUUAGCAGACGCUUUUAUCCAAAGCGACUUACAGUCAUGUGUGCAUACAUUCUACGUAUGGGUGGUCCCGGGAAUCGAACCCACUACCCUGGCGUUACAAGCGCCAUGCUCUACCAACUGAGCUACAGAAGGACACAGUCUAGUGCAUUUUAGAGUUGAGGAACACCAACUACACAUACAGGUGGUUGUUUGAGCACCUUGAAGACUAAAUUCAAUGUAGAAUCAGUGUAACCGGUGACAAACAGAUUAUUUUACUAUUGUAACAAGCAGUGGUGAGAAUUCUAUUGUCCUCGUCGGGAGCCCAGACUUUUGCCAUAGAUGGUAGUGUUCUCGUCUCUGGACCACACAAGCUUUAGUCAGCUACAUUGGUGAUCAGAGUGGGAUCCUUUUGAUAUGCCUAUGAGGCCUGGGCACACAAAUGCUCCUAGAGAGAAGGUGGAAUACUAAAGUAUGCGUUGAUGACAAGUCUGCAGUCUCCAUCAGAGGCCCAUGCUUUUGGCACAGAUGGUAAAGCUCUCAUUUCUUGACUGCAAUAUUGUAAGAUUGUGCCUUCCACAGCACUUGAUAUACAUUAAUUGGUAGGUUACGCUAUAUUUAUGUAGCCAGGUGGUAAAAGCGCAUGGCUGUAUUCAUUUUUAUCCACUAGCUGGCACCAUCCCUUUAAGAGAUUCAUAAACAAGGUGUGCCGGCGGUUAUGGGAUUGCGCAGUGUGUAAGAGUGAGAACAAGCAAUUACACUGGAGACCUGUUGAAAUCCAUCCUGGAGCCAAAGUUAGAUGGGUAAAUUACACUUUAUCUUCCUCUUGUACCGGAAUAUAUCUUAUUUUGCAUCAUCUGCAGUGUAUAAUAGUUAAUUUUGUAAUAUUUAUGCCAGACGGUCAUGUUAGCCUGUUGAUACUUUCAGAUUGAUAUGAGGAUGUUAGCUUCUUGCUAGCUGAAUACCAGUGCUCUCAGAACCACGUUGUGAAGUUGAUGAUAACAUUAUUUGAAGUUGCAGUAUGGGUGAGAUGAGGACCUACUGUUCUAUGUGGGGUUAGUGCAUCACCUGGACAGUGUGUUUAGGCCUGUCCAGAACCAACCCCUGGUAGACCAACACUAAGGAGACCAAGGCCCAACCAGACACUGCUAGAGAGGGUCUGUGCCCAGUCUCACACUGCUUAUCUGCUGCCCCCACUGGAAGCUGGCCCCUACCCACCACCAUGCACCCACAGCCACACAGAGCCACAUACAGCCACACACAGAGCCUGUUUAAAGAGACAGGCCUCUGGGACACACUGGAAAAGCCUGGACUCCCACGAUAACUAAGGAGAGAGAGAGAGAUGUUCUGUCAUCCAAUGCUGAGCAUCCCUUUGGAAGCUUUACGACAAGCACCAGUCCUCAAAAUGGUUUUACAAUGGAAUCCAUCCUCUUAUAGUUGCACAGUGUUUAUGAUUGUUUACUAUACUGGUAACCUGGGUGACUAUUACAACCAACAAAAGAAAGGAGGAAACGGGUGUAUCCAUGUUCUACUCAGUCCUGAUAUUCUCAGACCAUUGUUUCAUUCAGCGUAGAGAGGAGUGGAAAGGAAGAAGUAUGGAGGAGGGAGGUGGAGUUAAUAAGAGCUGGCGCUCCUCUGUGAGAUGUUUAAUUCAUGGUGAGGCUGGCCAGUAUAACGUGACUGGCCAGGUAAUGGGGAGGGGAGACAGAGCUGCUUUCUGAAAUUGAGUAGAAGUGAGGCUUCAAGGAAUCCUUUGUCUCUUAGAUCAACAAUGGGCACAGCUCUCAAUAUGCAUUCCAUUGUGCUCUUUCUCUCCAGAGAAAUCUAAAAUCAAAAUGUCUCUGUCAUACAUGUGGUGUACACAGUACAAUGAAAUGCUUAUUUCCAGGCUCACCUGUCAACAAUGCAACUACAGCAAUACAACCAAAUCAAAUUGUAUUGGUCACAUACACAUGGUUAGCAGAUGUUAUUGUGAGUUUAGCGAAGUGCUUGUGCUUCUUGUUCCGACAGUGCAGUAAUAUCUUAACAAGUAAUCUAACAAUUCCACAACAACUAGCUAAUACACACAGAUCUAAAGGGGUGGAAUAAGAAUAUGCACACACAAGGGUCAAAGACGUAUAAGGUUUUCAAAGUAGCAAAAAAAAUAAAACAGCAAUUACAAUUCCCUAAAAGGCUUUUAUAUGUUUGUUGGAGUGUCACCUAUGCCCUUCUAUUAGUCAUAUUCAAGAAUAAAGCCAAUCAUUUUUAUUGUGAUUCAUGUGAAUGUACCCUAGUAAAAUGUAAUUCAGUAUAACACUAAGUGUUUUUUAAAAUAUUUAUUAAAUUUGAUGCCCAUUUUUCAUAAUUACAAGGUUAUAUAUCCAUGCUUAGACUGGCAGAAAUAUAACUACCCAGAAAAAAUGACAUUAUUUUAUUUUGAAUACUAAAUAUUUGAUGUGUCAUGGGUACAACUCAAAAUUUGUUGAAUGUUUUUUACAUAAACUUCCUGCCUUACACUGAAAAUGAAAAUAUCUUUCACUUCAUCCUUUGAGAUUUGUUUUUGUCUCUCUGAGUCAACAAAACAAAGUUAUUGUAUAUUUUAAUAUAAAAUACUUGUGUUAUACUGUAUCACAAUAUUUUGAUACCCUGAAUGACACAUCAAAAGGCCCACAAAUAUUGAUUAAAUGUGAUUCCUUCAGCAAUAACAAUAAUUAUCCUAUGAACUAUUAGUAUUUUUCUUUUAGCUAUUUUUUCAAGAUACAAAACUUUGUAAAAAAACAGGAUGCGAUGUUUAAAAUUUGCAGGCUAGCUGAACUUAGAUCGGUUCCAUACUAGAGAGAGAGAGAGAGAGAGAGAAAUUACCCAUACGCCACACAUAAAGAAUAUGGGUUUUACAAUGCAACAAAGUUUAACGGGGCGGCAGCAUAGCCUAGUGGUUAGAGCGUUGGACUAGUAACCGGAAGGUUGUGAGUUCAAACCCCCGAGCUGACAAGGUACAAAUCUGUCGUUCUGCCCCUGAACAGGCAGUUAACCCACUGUUCCCAGGCCGUCGUUGAAAAUAAUAUGUUCUUAACUGACUUGCCUGGUUAAAUAAAGGUUAAAUUUUUUUUUUUUUAACAGGAUGAGGUACAAUUUAAUUCAAGUAGGAAUAAUGUUGUAAAUAAAAUAAAGUUGUUCAGGGGGCUGCUCAAAGGAGUUUCCUUCAGAGUUAAGUUCAUCACCACAUUUCGUUAGAUUUUUUUCACGGCACCUCCUCUGAUUUAAUGUUUUUUUUUAAACAAAAAAUUCAGCAUCAGAUUGUAUGGAUCAGUGGAUGAUCUUUUCUUCUCUGAUAGCUAAAAAAAAUGAAAAUCUAAUAGUUCACAUCCAUUAAAUGUUACUAGUAAUCUAUUAUUAGUAGGCUAUACAAUGAUAACACUUAAUCAAAGUUUCAAAGUUAAAUCAACUCCCUGUCCAUUUCUCUCUCAAACAUGUUUUGUUACUAUUUCAUUGCUAAUGUUAAUAAUAGUCACUUUACUAUAAUUUGAGCCUGUGGCAACACUUUACGUUGCAUUAAGUUGCAUUAUUUCACGAUUAGUAUAUGAUAGUUAAUGUUGUAAUUAUGCAUUGUUACACUGUAACUGGUACAUUUCUAUUCAAUGCAGGUACACAAAUUCAACUUCAAGAUACCUAUAUAAAGUAAUGACCUUGACCUAUAAAGACUAUCCUUACUUUUCAUAUUUAAUAUAGUUUUUUACAAAAUAAUAACAUUAAAAUAAUGUUUUCUGUGUUGUACUGAAGGAUAUGCGUUUUUGUUACUAGAGGGUGAAAAUGUGAAAUCAUCAAAUAUUUCAGAAAUUUACUCACCUCAUCACAUUGAUAGAGGGUCUUCAAUGGGUAUUCUUUGUGAUGUCACACACUGUCACAUGAUUACAUCAUGUGAUAUUAUUUACAAUUACGUUUUACAAUUUGUUAUACUGAAUGACAUUGAUGAAGCUCAAAAGUCCAGACAAAAGUUAUUCAAGUUAAAUAUUUUUUAGAUACAUUAUGUCCCCCAUUGUUCUAUAUAUUGUUGCAAACACUAACACAAUUAUGCCAUGGGUAUUCAUUUAUAUUUUUAGGAUGAAUUUAUACAUUUUAAAAACACUUUUGUCAUUACAAUUUUAACCCGGACAGUUCCACUGAAGGACAUUUUGACACUUUAGAGCUCAAUAACUCCCUUAAUUGAAUAGUUUGCAACACAAAUAUGUCUGGGUCAAAAACAGGUAAGAGUUGAAUAAUUUAUUGUUAUUUUUAUCCAUAUUUAUCUUUUUAUAUUAAAUGAAUGGCCUUUGGACACAAAAUUUACACAUCUCAUAUGGAUGCGUGAAGACCGAGCGGCAUAGGUAAGAUGCAAUAGAUGGUAUAAAAUACAGUAUAUACAUAUGAGAUGAGUAAUGUAAGAUAUGUUAAUAUUAUUAAAGUGGCAUUAUAUUGUUGUACUUUUUGCAGGUAUGAAUGAAAUGUCUUUCUGUGGAUUACUGUCUGUCUGUCUCUGUCUCUGAUGGGCAAAUAGUUAAAGUACAAAAGGUAAAAUAAAUCAACAUAAAAAUAAGUUGUAUUUACAGUGGAGUUUGUUCUUCACUGGUUGCCCUUUUCUUGUGGCAACAGGUCACAAAUAUUUCUGUUUUGAUUGCACACUGUGGUAUUUCACCAAAUAGAUAUGGGAGUUUAUCAAAAUUGGACUUUGUUUUUGAAUUAUUUGUGGGUCUGUGUAAUCUGAGGGAAAUCUGUGUCUCUAAUAUGGUCAUACAUUUGGCAGGAGGUUAGGAAGUGCAGCACAGUAUCCACCUCAUUUUGUGGGCAGUGUGCACAUAGCCCGUCUUCUCUUGAGAGCCAGGUCUGCCUACAGCGGCCUCAAUAGCAAGGCUAUGCUCACUGAGUCUGUACAUAGUAAAAUAUUUCCUUAAUUUUGGGUCAGUCACUGUGUACUCUCUGUUUAGGGUCAAAUAGCAUUCUGGUUUGCUCAGUUUAUUUGCAAAUUCUUUCCAAUGUGUCAAGAAAUUAUCUUUUUAUUUUCUCAUGAUUUGGUUGGGUGUAAUUGUGUUGCUGUCCUGGGGCUCUGUGGGGUCUGUUUGUGUUAGUGAACUGUGUGUGUGUGUGUGUGUGUGUGGUGUGUGUGUGUGUGUGUGUGUAAGCGGUUUCCUUGCAGGCAGUUCACACUCCUGCAGUGAUAAUCAAUCUUAAUCAAGGUGCUUGUGAAAUAUUUGCCUUUGCCCAGUCUGGGAGUGGCUCUGGACUGGAGAGGAGAAUGCUUUCUGAAUCUCCACUAUGAUGACUGAAGUCUCAGACACACAGUGGCCCUGUCCACAACCUCUGAAUGAUGAGAGUGUCGUUGCAGCCAUAGACCUCUGCGCUGGAAACACCCAGCAGACAAGAAAAAUGACGGCCGGCAGAAUCUCAUUUUCUGAGGGGCUGCAAGUCAGGCAGGAAAUGGCUAUUAUUCCAUCGACACUGUCGGUAUUAAGUUAUUUCCUUCUCUAAAUGUCCAUGAAUAUCUAUUGAGUUCCAGGUGCGAGCGCUGGAGCUUUUGUUGCCACACACUCGGAUGAUUGCAGCCCUAUAUUCCGUCUGGUGCACCCUCACUUCUAAGAUUGAAGUGAAAGACAAUGGUAUUGGAAAUUGGCUAAUAAAUCCAGCGGAGGGAAAGGCCUGCUUGAGAGCUACCGCCAGCUCAUUCCAUUUUUAAAAAGGGAUAAAACCCCUCACACUUUUUUCUAACUCGUAUUUCUUGUGAAAAGGGGACUGACGACAUGGUUCGCUCAAACAGCUCCAGCAGGCCCAGGCAAGGCCCUGUCAUCUGAACACUAACAGUGGUGUUAACAUCGAUAGGAGAUUAAUGCUGCAAUGUGGCCACAGGAAUGAUGCACCAUGUCUUCACAAUGCAUCAAUAAUUCAGGCAAAUAAGAUCAUAAAUAGAUGUCACUGAGAAAAGACUGAAACAAAGAGAUGGAAGGGGAGAGAGCUCUGCAUGUAAUUGUUAUGCUUGUUGCUUUAAUGCUUGUUUAUUAUGAAUCUGAGCUAGCUCACACACUGGAAUAGGCCAGGGCUGGGAGGAGGGUAAAAAGAAGGGCAGGAUGGCGGAGGGAAGGCAAGGCAAGGGGACCGAACAGCGUGAGAUGAUGAUCACAGCAUCCAAUCUAGGAUAUGAGUGGGCAGUUACCUCCCAGUGCACAGAAACACAGUGGCCAGCCAGCAGGAAAAACAGGGCUGGAGCCCUGCUAACAUGUGUCCAGUCUGAGGCAGUCCACUGUAGUGGGGAAUGGGGCGAGAAUUGAUUGAAGGUGUUGGACCAUAAAUGAAGGUAUUGAUUUUGGGGUCAGAGACGGGGGAUGAGGUCUUGAAAUAAAUAUAUCAAUAUAUCAAAUAUAUUCCACACACACCGCAUAUACCCAGACUCUAACACAUAUAUUAUAAAUCUUAUUAAGCCUAAUAUAUAUAGUUGAAGGACAAAUGUGUAAUGGCUUUAUAAACAAUAACUUUUGAGUGAAAAAAUGCACACAGGAAGAAAAUGGUUCCCAAUCAACAUUGUAUCUUACAUUUAUAUCAGACAAGUGCAUCAUUAGCUAUUUAGGGUAAAUUAAUCAUUUGUGAUAAUCAGGAGUUAAUUCAUGUUUGCGUUUGCUUAAAGAAGACAUUUACCUAUUAUGCCUGUCUCAAAUCGAGUAAACAUAGUAAAUUACUCUUGAUUAUAAGUAUGAAAAGUAACAAACUCUUGAGGUAUGAAAGUAACAGAUUAAGUUUCACAUUAAAAGGCCUAUUUUCAGACAGAUUCAUCUAGUCAGUGUGCAUGAUAAAAUAAUGUUAAUGCACUUUAAAGUGAGCACUCAGGAAAGGUUAAAGUGCCAGCGAUUGAUGGGUCAGAGGAAGAUACUUACUAGGAAGAGGCAAGUACUGGCUGUCACCAACCAGCGCCAGGACCAUGGACAGUUCUUCCACUCGUGGGAUAUCAACAGAAACGUCACUAUUUUAACAUCACCAACUAGCUUGGUUUUCUCGAACUCGUCAACCAAAAUAGUUGUUGCCUAUGUAGGCCUAUUGGAUAUUUUUUAAAUAAUUAUUUAUUGAAGUUCUUGUCUCUCAUCAUUGAAUCUCUGCUUGCUAGUCAAAUUAAUAGAAUGAUUAGAAUGAGCGACUGGGUCAAAACAUGAGGACUGCCGACCAGCCACCUUGGAUAUCAACUUAAAAAUGCAAAAACUAAUUUACUUGUUAAAAUAAUGUUUUUAAUAAAAACAAUGUCAUUCAUAUUUUUAUAAAUAUGUUGGUAACAGUUUUAGAAAAACAAAAAAGCCCCUCAAACCCGGAGAUUAUCGUGUAAUAACUCCCUCCUAAGGGCUGUUCCUGACACUUGGCUUUUGUCACGCCUUGGUCUUAGUAUUUUGUGUUUUCUUUAUUAUUUGUUCAGGCCAGGGUGUGACAUGGGGUUAUUGUAUUUUCGUAUUGGGGUUUGUAGUAUUUGGGAUCGCGGCUGAUUAGGGGUGUUGUAUAGGCUUGGCUGCCUGAGGCGGUUCUCAAUCAGAGUCAGGUGAUUCUCGUUGUCUCUGAUUGGGAACCGUAUUUAGGUAGCCUGAGUUUCACUGUGUAUUUUGGGUGAUUGUUCCUGUCUCUGUGUAGUGUUCACCAGAUAGGCUGUAGUAGGUUUCACGUUCCGUUUUGUUGUUUUGCAUUUGUAUAGUUAUUUCAUGUAUCGCUCUUCCUUCAUUAAAGACAUGAGUAACCACCACGCUGCAUUUCGGUCCGACUCUCUUUUGACAAACGAAGAACGCCGUUACAGCUUUGAUAAUUCCCAGGUUCUCAUGCCUUAUUGCUUAAAUAAUCACUGCAUAAUAAUCUAUUUAAAAACAAAUCUUGAAUUUUCCUUAACCCAAGGGACUUGUAAAAAGUGGGAUGACGCUGUUGUUCAUCUGAAGUGCUUUUAAUGAUUGAAAUAUUUGAAAAUUACUCUUUGGUUAAUUCAACCUAUUCUAUUCAAUUUGUCUGAAAUCAAAUAACAAAUUCGACAGAUCAAUGAUAUUUUUGGAAUUUAAUGAAAGCUUCUAAAUUGCAUACAACACCUCAUGUGUAUACAUUGAAUAGCAGAGGGGGCCAUGUAGCGGCAGCAGCCUAUCAGAAGAGUUGGAGGUGUGGCUUAUUGGGGGCAUGGCUUUCAGUUUGUUCUUCUUAUCCACCCCUGUGAGUGAAUGUAACUCCAGUUAUGUGGUCUAUUGUAGGGCUGUUACAGUGACUAUAUGACCGCCACACUGGCAGUAAUGAGUCAUGACUGCAGUCACAGUAAAUAGGCUUCUCCAAAACUGAGCUUUUGAUGCCGCUGAUGGUCAUUAGUGUCCUACCAAACUUGUAAACGGCCAGUUGCUAAUGGCCUGGCACGCAGCACUCUAUUGUCCCUCUAAUCGCUCUGAUCUUGAUGCAAAUGCAAUGGAAAAUCAAAUCAAACACUUCAUGACAGCCCUGGCAUUCAGAGUUUGAGCAGAAUCAGAUCAGAUGUUGCUCAGUGAGAGCCAGCUCCUCAUAGCUGGUUGAUGCAUGGAAUUAAAUAAGUGUUCCUAUAAGCCCAUGUAACGCAAUAGUUCUAGGCUAUGCUAUGCAACUGAGUGAGAAAACAGAGUUUUGAUGGCCUCUAUUAAAAAGAGAAGGGUCCCAUAAGCUUUCUAUAGGUUUAUAUAUAUUUAUGCGCAGUGGUCUAACGCAUCACUACAGACCCAGAUUCGACCCUGGGCUGUAUCCCAACCGGCCUUGAUUGGGAGUCCUUUAGGGCGACGCAUAAUUGGUCCAGCGUUGUCCGGGUUAGGAGAGGGUUUAGCCGGGAUAGGCCGGCAUUGUAAAAUAAUAACUUGUUCUUAACUGACUUGCCUAGUAAAAUGAAAAAAAAUAUUAAGCACAUUACUUCACUUUACAAUCAGAGUAGCCUACCUGACUGGCAUGAAAAUGAACAGUGGGAAAAGCACACGGAUGACAUUACUUUUUUCCCCCUGCAUAAUAAUGGCUCAUUCUAAAAGGAAUUUCACACAUAUAUUAUUUAGUGCAGUAUAUGUAAAGACAAGAUUACAUUGAGAAUAGAGUGAUGGAUGAGAAUAUCAUCACUUUUGAUUGAUGCCCAGCUUGUGCAGUCUAAGGUGUUGUUUUGUCACUUUUUCCAAUCAUAGUUGCAUGCAUCUUGUAGCCUAGCCCAUAGGCCUAUAUGUUUUGAUAAGGUUUGUAUCACAACUAAAGUGGCCACAACUAAAGUGUCCUUGAGAACUAUAAUACAAUCAUUGUGUUGUGUGAUUUUAAUAUUCGUUUUGACAAAGAGUCUGACUCCAAGGCCAUUGAAUUUAUGAAUAUUUUGAGCUCUAUGGAUUUUAUCCAACAUGCUACUGGGCCCACCCAUAACCACGGCCAUUCUCUGGACCCGGUUAUUACCAAGAGGCUUUCAAUUGACAUAUCUUCUAUUGUUGAUGUUGCUUUAUCUGAUCAUCACUGUUUAUUUUUGACUACCUUGUUGCCCAUAGCACAGGGUAAUACUGAAAGCAUUAUUAAUAAAUGUAAUCUUACCACUGAA